CAAGAGUUGCCAUGGCAAUUACAGACUAGUUAGCGUUAGCUGGAGGAUCCGAGAAACUUUGAAAAACCAUUUUAAUGAAAUACAGUAUCAUGAAAGAAACCCAACAUGGAUUCACCAAAAAGAAAUGUCUCCUACAUAUACUUUACAAGUCUUUACUUAUAAUGAACCUAACAUAUGUUGAAACUCUUCGGUUUCAAGCUGUAAAGGAGUGUCAAUAUUACGGUAAAGAUCUGAUGUUCAGCAAGAUGGUGGAUAGCCAACUUAUUUAUGGAUCUCAAGAUCAACACGUUGUUGGAGCAGACACUUCUCCAGAGAAAUAAGAUGAAGGCGACUUUAGCUGUUAUGCAAACCUAUAUAUUUUUUCCAUAGCUUGUUUUACAAUCUCCAAAAGCCUAGGUUUUUGAGACAGAUGUCAACCUUUUGGAUUUUAGGGAAGAUGAACGAAGGCUCCUGUUGAAGCUUCUGGCUUUAUCAUCAUGAAACAAGCUGAAGAUGAAGAGCCCUUAAGAUUUCAAGAAUGUUAUUUUUUCCGAAAUAAAUUCCAUCUUUAGUAAACUUAAUUCGAUUUCUCUUUUUUUCUUGACGUUUUUAGCUUGUCUUACUUUUAAUUAAUUAGAAAACGAUACAAUUCCAAGAGUCAGUGCCACAAACAUGUACUGGAAGGGAAAUAAGUUGACAAGAUAAAAGUAUUUAAUAUAAUAAUAAGUAAAAGCUGAUAAGGUUGGUGGUUAUAAGAAGUGAAAGCGAAGUGCGAGUCUAGCACGAUCGUCACAAAGUGGUCUCAGAAGUGGGAUUCAUCAAUUCAUUAGGAAUAAGAACCCAACAACAGAAGAAGAGAAAAGCUGAGAAGGAAAGUUAACAGGAUGAAGCAGUGAAGUCGG